rnacentral:rRNA from 1 species
UACGUAGGGUACAAGCAUUACUCGGAAUUAUUGGGCGUAAAGGGCGCGUAGGCGGGGACGUAAGUCAGAUGUGAAAUACCAAAGCUCAACUUUGGUGCUGCAUUUGAAACUGCGUUUCUUGAGGACUGACGGAGAGAGCGGAAUUCCACGAGUAGCGGUGAAAUGCGUAGAUACGUGGAGGAACACCAGUGGCGAAAGCGGCUUUCUAGUUUUUACCUGACGCUGAGGCGCGAGAGCAAGGGGAGCAAACAGG